CACGAACCGUACGAACGUUAUUCGGAAUUACUGGGCUUAAAGGGUUUGUAGGCGGCUUUGUAAGUCAGGUGUGAAAGCCCUCGGCUCAACCGAGGAACAGCGCUUGAUACUGCAAGGCUUGAGGGAGACAGGGGUAAGCGGAACUGAUGGUGGAGCGGUGAAAUGCGUUGAUAUCAUUAGGAACUCCGGUGGCGAAGGCGGCACGCUGGACCUCUUCUGACGCUGAGGCGCGAAAGCCAGGGGAGCAAACGGG
rnacentral:rRNA from 1 species